CCCUUAGAUGUUCUGGGCUGCACGCGUGUUACAAUCGGGAGUACAACAAGAUUGCAAAUCCUAGUGGAUGAGUGGUUCUUCGAAAUUUUCUGAAGACUGGGAUAGUUGAUUGAAAUUAUUCAACUCGAACGAGGAAUUCCUUGUAAUUGUAAUUCAUUAUAUUGUAAUGAAUACGUCCCUGCCCUUUGUACACACCGCCCGUCACUCCUACCGAUUGAACGAUCCGGUGAAUUAUUUGGAGUAGCUCUGGAAGUUGCAGAACUUCCUAUGUCACGAAAUUUUGUAAACCUUAUCGUUUAGAGGAAGGAAAAGUCGUAACA
rnacentral:rRNA from 1 species